AAAAAAAAUUGUCUUUCAAAAAUAUAAAUUUAAUGUAAACGCAAAAAUUGGUUUUUAAAAGAAGAUUUUAAUGUUAGAAAAAAUAGAACAAGUAACAAAAAAUAUAAUAAAGAGUCUAAUUUAAAAAAUAAAUUCAUAUUUUGAAAAGAUAAGUUUAAUGUAAAAAAAAAUCAUAAUUGUGAAAAAAAAAUGACUUAUAAAAAAAUGAAGUGUUUAAUAUAAAAAUGGAACAAUAAAGUGGAG
rnacentral:lncRNA from 1 species